UCGCGUCGUGGAAACGUUAUCCUAUGCUCUUGCUGUAUCAGGCAAACCACGGUGCAAGCUGGCUGUUCUCCGUGUUGAUCCCAUUAGUAGACGACAGAAUGGCAGCGACCUCGCUAUCUCACUAUCAAAUAUUCGUCAUUUUCGCGUGCGGCCUUUGUACAGCAGUUCGCAUUCUGGCACCACCAAAAUGCUUGCACUCCACGUCUCAACUAUCACCGUCUUGGUUUCAAGCUGAAGGCUGUCACCAGUGCGAACCAGACGCCCCUUCACAGUUCAUCUGUUUUUGUUGACGAAACAAUGACACCUGGUACUGAAACAUUUCAUUUUCUGAUGAAUCAAGUGCAUUGCAUCACUUGUGCUCGACUUCUUUUAUUCGUAUAUACCCUUGCUGUUGCUCUCUAGCUUAGAGCAACCAUGCCUGAGGCGUUUAUGUUCUUACUCCAGCGCUUUCAGAUUACACUUAAGCAGUAUCAUCGUAUCAUAUGCACGGCCGCACAUCUUGUGUAUUUUGAGUAACGUAUAAAUUAAAAUGUUGGCUCAGCGGUUGUAUUUUGGCCACAAAUAAGGUGCUCUUCCAGAGCCCUCAAGGGCAGUUCAAGCAGUUUCAUAUGUGCAACAGCACCUACCUUUUCUCAGUUUUGACUAAGGUAAAUAGAAAUCUUCCAGUUGAUGUCUUUCAGUCAUAAAUUAUGUUUUUCGAGAAGUUUCAGGAUUACAUUCAAACAGCAUCAUGUGUGCAACAGUGACAUUCUUUUUCUCAGGUGAAGUGAGGUAAACCUGUCCGCUGUUGUGUUCUGGCAUUGCAGCAGAAGCUUGUGUUGCAUCCAAGUGGUAUCAUGUAUACAAACCUUUGCCUUUCUGUAACUGCUGUACUGGAAUUGUGAGUACAGAGACAUUCCUGCAGAACAUAUCGGAGCAUCUUGUGUGCUAUUGUUGAUAUGAUCUGCAGCACUAUAUUGAUAAUGUUAAUUAUUCAAUGACUUCAGCUAACAUUUACAUUCUUACUUCCAGGUAAACCUGUCACGCAGAUGCCCUACCCCUUGGUAUGCUUAGUUCAAGAAUGUACCGAAACAAUCAACCUGGAGCAUUAUUUUUCAAUUAUUGGCAGUGGCAUUACUAUCACAACACACCACACACUGCAUGUCUAAGGUGCGUGUACAAUACAUUAGACCUAUUCUCAGGUACAGGCGAGCUGGUACGCAAUUACAACAUGAAACAACUCACACAGAUAUAGUAAAGUCAUGGCUUUUCCUCCGCGCCUCGGGUUUCAUGUUGUUAUCCUCACAUGAAGCUCAUUUCGGCUGUGCUGUGGAGCAUGAGCAAAUGCACAUAUUGUUGUUGGUCACAUGACACGAGAUAUAAAUACAGUGAAACCUUCCUAUGGUGAACACCCGCGGUGCAGCCGAAGCGUGUCCUACUUAUAGAGGUGUCCGAGUUACAGAAUAUGAGAGAAACGAAAAAUGGAAAAGAUCACAGCUGUGUUGCCAGUAAUGUCCCCCUUCUUCAAUUUAUGUUCCUUAGUGGUACCAGGUGGUGGUGCCUGGUAGUGGUACCUGGUGGUAGUGGCACCUCUAACCACUCUUCAUUGGUAAUUAUUACUGAUUUUGGUAGAUUCAAUUCCGUUCAGAUUCCACUCAAUAGCAUUACCUCUGGAGCUUUUCGAGCAGCAAGGACUUUUAUCUGAAGCGUCAGCCCGCUUUUCAUUGCUUUUGUGCAGUGCGCGUUCAACGGCUCUAGGCAAACCGAAGACAAGUGCUUACACAAAGAAUUGCAAUGUAGACUGACAGCACUUGUUUUUGGACUCGAAAAACUAAAACAAGAAAAUGCUGAGGCCAGUAUAGGGGAAAAAGGGGGACGAAAGUCGAGGCGACUGGCUCAUUUGGGGUCUUUUUGGUGCAAAGAUGGUCCGAGAUUGAGGUAAUUUGGCAAGGGUUUUGUCCAACUUAGCAGGGAAAACCCUGUCCUACUUCCGGGAUAGGAAGGUGUCCGACAUAGACAAUUUCGUUCCCAUGUAGUUUCAAUGGGAGCCUGCCCGUGCAAUGAAGUCGUGGGGAGUUGUUCGAGGUAGGGAGGUGUCCGACUUUUGAGGUUUUACUGUACUAUACAUCAUUCUACAUCAUGUAAUCUAACAGUUGUUCACGUUUGGAUAUUUUAGCCAUGAAAUUUACCCUGCAUGCACCAUACCAUGUCCAAACACGAACAACUGCUAGACAGCAGUAUGUACUGUACUGUAUGUACUCUAUGCAGUUCCAGAAAUAAAUAAAUAAGGAAAAUUAAGAAAUAAUAAAUAAAGAAAAAGAAAAGAAAGAAAGAGAAAAAUAGGAAGGAAUAAGAAAUAAAUAAAGAAAGAAAAUUAAGAAAUAAGAAAUAAAUAAAAAGAAAAAGAAUUAGGAAAUAAAAGAAGAUAAACUAACAAAUGAUGAAUGAGGGAUGAGGCAGAUUAAAGACAAAGAUGACACACAAAAAAAGAUGACUAACAAACGGUGAAAGAAUGAUGAGAUGGAUCACAGAAGAUUACUUUAAAAGGAAAGCAUGAGGUUAAAGGGACUCUGACUAGAAACUGUGGGAGCUCUUUCGUACUUGCACUCGAUAAAGCACCCAACAAGGACUCUCCAUGCGAAAAUUCAUGCAUUAAAACCCCGCGGUUUCUCUAAACUCGAAUUUUAAACAUUCGACUUCAUCCGAGUGCAGCACGCCUAGCGUCAAACCGAGAAAACAUACGUUUAUAUAAAAUAUCCACCCCGGUCCACCAUCAAGAUGACGUCAACACGGGGGCCACUCGCAACACCCACAGUUGGCUCAAAUGCGUCACGUGGUCACGCAAUAGCUGUCAAUUUCCUUCAUGAAAUGGCAUUUCUAUGUUAAUAUGUUUUUAUUACAGAGCCUCAAAAAGAAAAAUAUACCCUGCAUUUAUCACCUGCAACAGUUUCUACGAUUUUCUUUUCAAUCUGUACACGCGUUUCAUAUAUGCUUCCGUAUCCGGCCAGCUGUAAUGGAUGCCGUAUGCCGAGCUUGGGAACUGCGAACUUGUGGGACUCCCGGUUCAUCCUCUUUGUUCGAGUCAUUGGGUUGGUGUCGAAGUUGGUCGCCAUAUACUGAACGUUUCACCUAUCGUUGCGGUGUACUGUUCUUGAUCUGCUGCGAAGCGACGAACCGCAACGGCAGUCACUCGCCUCAGCGAAAUUCUGUCUGCUGCAUCUCAAAGGAGCAUGGGGACCACUGAUGAUACCUUCAACUAAAGAAACCAAGUGUGCUCUCGUGUGGUCCUGACGGAAAAGUAGUUUCAACAAGGGUAGCAUAUUUAUUUUUCAGUUCCAAGUCUACGUACUGAAAACCAUGCAAGUGCAGUCGAUCAUUCUCGUAGCUGUUGUGUAACGCGUAUGCUUUCUUACGUAUCCCACAGAACCCUCCACUUUUUCAACCAAGUUAUCUUUAUGAGAUCCUUCUGGUGGCUUCUUACUAGGCUAUGCCGCUCCGAAGCAUUGAGGUGGGGAAGCGUCGUGGCAGCUGCACCUCCGCUUUCGAAAGAUGAAACAGUCUUUCCACACUGUGCGUACUGGCUUUGUAUAGAGUCUGGCAAAUCCGAUAGAUUUGGACUGCCUUUUUCAAGAAAGUUUGAAAUAGCAUCCCUUAUGCACCUGCAUUUUAAUUCCAAUCUGCAUUACAAGAAUGACAGACCACUCAACAGAGAUGAACAUCUGAAAGUGAAAGAGCUGGAACGAAGAUACGUUAAUCUGUGUGAAAGGUGCUUAGUAUGUGUGUGAGUCGAGGACAGAGGUCUCAAGCUGAUUCCUGUCUUCAGAAGAGGUGACAACUAUGCUGCUUCUAUCUAUUAACCAGCUCCACUUUUUAGGGUUCCCUGUAAACUAAUGGAGCACAUCAUGUACAACCACGUUGUCAACCAAGUUGAGUCUGUCGGUUUCUUUUUUUAAAUUCCAGCAUGGCUUUAGAAAAGGGUAUUCAGGCAAAACUAACGUAGUGGAAUUCGUUCACAGCAUUUUCGACAGUCUUGAUUUCUGGGUCCACAUAGAUGUAGUAUUUUUUUAUUUUGUAAGGGCUUUUGACACUGUGCUGUAUGCUCGCGUGUUGGCCAAAGUAGCCUAAUUAAAAUUUGAUCCUGCUACCAUUAAUGGGAUAUGCAGUUUCUUGACUAACCGCAACCGUGCUGCCAACAAUUCGUGAGGAGAACUUAUCAUAUCGCCACCAUGCAGCGUUUGUCACGUUACAUUUGCAUCACAUUUUAAUCUAGUCAAAAACAAGGCCUUUUGGUGAUCGGUCUUGUAUGAUUACAUGCCCCUCCGUUAUGUAACCCCACACUGGGUUCUUCAACCUAUGAGAGAUAAAUAAAUAUAUUUCCAAGUA